AAUCUGCUGCAGAAACACCAGUGUUCUUUGACUGGAGCAACACAGAGUCCACCAAGGAGGGCCGGGAUUUGAAGCAGGUCCAAGUGUCUAGAAAUGAUGACCAUAUACGAAUACUAAUGUAAACGUAAGUUUUGACAUACAAGAACUCAGAAUGAUACACUACACCAGCUGUAAAGAAACUGGUAUGUUUGACGCAGAGGAUGGCCAGAGGCUCAAUAAUAAGAUACAUAGGCAUGCCAACAUGGAUCAAAUGAAAGAGGCCUUGGGAAAUUAAAAAAAUAGUGUGAGUGAGCCUGAGCUUGAUCCUGAGAGGCCUAGCAAAAUGCAAAAAGCAAUAUGCUGCUGAUAUGACUCCUAACCAUGAAGCAUAUUGCUAUAAUUGGCAAGGGCCCAAAAUGAAGAGAGAUAUGGGCCUGGGCUAAUCCCUGAACCUGAAGAGGCCUGGGUCCAACAAGAGAGGUAUGGAGGCCUGGGCCUAUCCCUGAUUCUGUAGAGGCCUGGGCCCCAACAAGAAGAGAUGUGGGCCUGGCUCUAUCCCUGACACUGAAGUGACCUGGGCCCUAACAAAAAAAGAUGUGGGCCUGGGCCUACCCCUGACCCUGAAGAGGCCUGGGCCCAACUAGAGAGAUGAAGGCCUGGGCCUACCCCUGAUCCUGAAGAGGCCCGGGCCCCAAAAAGAGGAGAUGUGGGCCUGGGCCUAUUCCUGA